rnacentral:lncRNA from 1 species
CCCGUUUAUAAUCCGCUUGUAUAUACCGAUUUUAACAUGUAUAUGGUAUUUCAAAUUGUUCUCUUGGUUUUUUUUCGUUUGUUUGUUUCUGCCGUGUUUAUUCUGUCUGGUAAAUUUUUUACUUCUAAGGUAAUAGCGUCUUCUCAAAUAUUUUCAGUUUUUGGAAAUGUUUAUCCUUUUUUUUUUUUUUAAAAAUACAAAUAAUUGUAAACACUUCACGGAAAGGUGAGGUUUAAUACUUGGUUGCUUAACGUCCAGUGGCCUAUACUUCACUUUUUUUUUCUGAUGUCAGAAACCAUGCCUCACCGCAAGGUUUUUAAAAGGAUAGAACACAGGCAAAUGCAAAAAGAUUCUAAUGACUAUCUUUGCUGCCUAGGUCUCUAUAUAAUGAUUUAUGUUUUAUGGGAUACUAAACUCCUGUUCUACAAAAACAAAUAUAUUCAGUUUAAGUGAGGUUUU